UACAGAGGGUGCAAGCGUUGCUCGGAAUCAUUGGGCGUAAAGGGCAAGUAGGUGGUCUUGUUUGUCUGGGGGUGAAAUCCUUGAGCUUAACUCAAGAAGCGCCCUAGAAACGGCAAGACUCGAGUCCUGGAGAGGGUGGUGGAAUUCCCGGUGUAGCGGUGGAAUGCGUAGAUAUCGGGAAGAAUACCGGUGGCGAAGGCGUUCUGCUGGGCCGUUGCUGACGCUGAGGCGCGACAGCGUGGGGAGCAAACAGG
rnacentral:rRNA from 1 species